UACGAAGGGGGCUCGCGUUGCUCGGAAUUACUGGGCGUAAAGGGCGCGUAGGCGGACAGUUUAGUCAGAGGUGAAAGCCCAGGGCUCAACCCUGGAAUUGCCUUUGAUACUGGCUGUCUUGAGUACGGGAGAGGUGUGUGGAACUCCGAGUGUAAAGGUGAAAUUCGUAGAUAUUCGGAAGAACACCAGUGGCGAAGGCGACACACUGGCCCGUUACUGACGCUGAGGCGCGAAAGCGUGGGGAGCAAACAGG
rnacentral:rRNA from 1 species